rnacentral:rRNA from 1 species
GUUUUUGAAGGGAACAUUUGAGCCAUUGGUGAGAUACCACUCUUAUAAAGCUAGAAUUCUAACCUUAUACCGUUAGCCGGUUAAGGAACAGUCUCUGGUGGGCAGUUUGACUGGGGCGGUCGCCUCCUAAAAGGUAACGGAGGCGCACAAAGGUUUCCUCAGAUCGGUCAGAAAUCGAUCGUAGAGCGUAAAGGCAUAAGGAAGCUUGACUGCGAGACCUACAAGUCGAGCAGAGACGAAAGUCGGUCUUAGUGAUCUGACGGUUCCGAGUGGAAGGGCCGUCACUCAACGGAUAAAAGUUACUCUAGGGAUAAC